GACGAACGCUGGCGACGUGCCUAAUACAUGCAAGUUGAGCGCUGAAGGUUGGUACUUGUACCAACUGGAUGAGCAGCGAACGGGUGAGUAACGCGUGGGGAAUCUGCCUUUGAGCGGGGGACAACAUUUGGAAACGAAUGCUAAUACCGCAUAAAAACUUUAAACACAAGUUUUAAGUUUGAAAGAUGCAAUUGCAUCACUCAAAGAUGAUCCCGCGUUGUAUUAGCUAGUUGGUGAGGUAAAGGCUCACCAAGGCGAUGAUACAUAGCCGACCUGAGAGGGUGAUCGGCCACAUUGGGACUGAGACACGGCCCAAACUCCUACGGGAGGCAGCAGUAGGGAAUCUUCGGCAAUGGACGAAAGUCUGACCGAGCAACGCCGCGUGAGUGAAGAAGGGUUUCGGAUCGUAAAACUCUGUUGGUAGAGAAGAACGUUGGUGAGAGUGGAAAGCUCAUCAAGUGACGGUAACUACCCAGAAAGGGACGGCUAACUACGUG
rnacentral:rRNA from 1 species